GGGAAGUUGGCUCAGUGGUAGAGCGCUUGCCUCAUAUGCAUGAGGCCCUGGGUUUGAUCCCUUAGUACCA
rnacentral:tRNA from 1 species